AGUCUCCGUAACGCCCGCCGACACUGACUAAUGACGUCCUUCCGCUCGUUCUACCUUGUGGAUGUGUUCACUUUUUGGGCACGAACCAGCCGCAGCAUGUUGAGCAUCGGCACUAGCCGAGGAGCAACGCGGACCUCCGCAUUAUUCUUGUGCUGCUCACUGGACUUGGACCCCCCACCACCCCUUGUUGGUUCCUGCCAUCAUAGCACCGUGAAACAGUUGCGUGGCGACCACCCUGCACAAGGCAACACAUGCGCGUCACCUCGCUCAACACCUUGUGAGCAAUCUGAGCCAGGCCAGAUGACUGACGGUCUUCACACGGCGCCGUCACCACGUCUUCACACUUCAAGAUAUUCUAAAAAAUGGACCUUUUGACCUGACGAAGGAGCGCGUUGAGCUUCCCGUGUGCCUGUAUGGAGCAGUUACAUCAGUUAAACUGAACAAACAGAUCAUUUACAUGGCUGGCGCACACGCUUCACUUCAAAGUGUUCUGAGAUGCAUUUUGUGUGUGUGCGUGCAUUCAUACAGCACAUUUCCAUUUUUCAUAUCGCCCCUAUCUGCUGACAAAACGUACUGACAUUGUGGUUUGAAGCAGGUUGGACCUGACCAUGAUGUAGGACCCGCCUCUCAUUGAAUGGAGCAGAGAGAAAGAACACCUAGAGAAAUAUUUGGCAUAUUAAAUAGAUAACUUAAUAUAGAGCAAACAUUGUGAUGUCCCUGGUAACUUUAUCCAAGA